GCGCCCAUAGCUCAGCCGGAUAGAGCAACGGAUUUCUAAUCCGUAGGUCCCAGGUUCGAGUCCUGGUGGGCGUACCU
rnacentral:tRNA from 1 species